rnacentral:lncRNA from 1 species
ACCGGUCUUGCUCAGAAUCUCAUUCAGAUUGGAUGCAAAGAGGCACCAUUUUAAGAGCCACCUUACUCAAACGUCGUCCUUGUAGAUGUCAUCAUAGCAAAUAAGGAAACAGGGAAAGAAUGAAACUCCAUCACAGCAUUUUCGAUCAAACAUCAGGCGGAGAGGAUAAAGCACUAGGAUCAUACUUGCUCAGACAUUUGUCUCAGAUCAGUUAUAAUCAUGCGCGAAUAGUUGCCUCGCCCAGAUACGGUCCUUUGUAAGUCAUCACAUCGAUUUCCAGCGCAAAAACAAACCACACAGUAAAUCUACACCUGACUACCUCCUAAAAUCAAGGCUUGCAGUGCAGUACAACCACUACUCCAUACCCGAAACCAAUUCAUAAGCGAAUGCACCUAACGUGGCCACACAAUGGACAAUGGCGGCAAUGAUCCAAAGAGAAUACGUCAUCUACCGACAAGGAUACAGACACAGGGCCAUAAAACAGGAAUGAGCAGAGACGGAGGACGCAUAAAAUUUGAGGUAUGGCAGAUUUCAAGGAGAUGCUGCAGAAGAAACAAAGCGGUUGUCUCAACCGGCAGCAGUAUUCUGAACCAUUAGCAUUAGGAACACUUUACGCAUGUUCGGAACUUCUGAUGAACA